rnacentral:tRNA from 1 species
GCCUUCGUGGCUCAGUUGGCUAGAGCGCCGGUCUCAUACUCUGUAUGAUCAUCUUUCAUGAUGAGUAAUCCGGAGAUCGCCAGUUCGAGCCUGGCCGAGGGCA